CGGACAGUGUCUGGUGGGUAGUUUGACUGGGGCGGUCUCCUCCUAAAGAGUAACGGAGGAGCACGAAGGUUGGCUAAUCCUGGUCGGACAUCAGGAGGUUAGUGCAAUGGCAUAAGCCAGCUUGACUGCGAGCGUGACGGCGCGAGCAGGUGCGAAAGCAGGUCAUAGUGAUCCGGUGGUUCUGAAUGGAAGGGCCAUCGCUCAACGGAUAAAAGGUACUCCGGGGAUAACAGGCUGAUACCGCCCAAGAGUUCAUAUCGACGGCGGUGUUUGGCACCUCGAUGUCGGCUCAUCACAUCCUGGGGCUGAAGUAGGUCCCAAGGGUAUGGCUGUUCGCCAUUUAAAGUGGUACGCGAGCUGGGUUUAGAACGUCGUGAGACAGUUCGGUCCCUAUCUGCCGUGGGCGCUGGAGAACUGAGGGGGGCUGCUCCUAGUACGAGAGGACCGGAGUGGACGCAUCACUGGUGUUCGGGUUGUCAUGCCAAUGGCACUGC
rnacentral:rRNA from 1 species